GAUGAACGCUAGCUACAGGCUUAACACAUGCAAGUCGAGGGGAAACGAUAGAGAAAGCUUGCUUUUUCUAGGCGUCGACCGGCGCACGGGUGAGUAACGCGUAUCCAACCUGCCCAUCACUUGGGGAUAACCUUGCGAAAGUAAGACUAAUACCCAAUGACGUCUCUAGAAGACAUCUGAAAGAGAGUAAAGAUUUAUCGGUGAUGGAUGGGGAUGCGUCUGAUUAGCUUGUUGGCGGGGUAACGGCCCACCAAGGGGACGAUCAGUAGGGGUUCUGAGAGGAAGGUCCCCCACAUUGGAACUGAGACACGGUCCAAACUCCUACGGGAGGCAGCAGUGAGGAAUGUUGGUCAAUGGACGAGAGUCUGAACCAGCCAAGUAGCGUGCAGGAUGACGGCCCUAUGGGUUGUAAACUGCUUUUAUAAGGGAAUAAAGUGAGUCUCGUGAGACUUUUUGCAUGUACCUUAUGAAUAAGGACCGGCUAAUUCCGUGCCAGCCGCCGCCGUAA
rnacentral:rRNA from 1 species